ANGAGUACACUUUAAAUCCUUUAACGAGUAUCCAUUGGAGGGCAAGUCUGGUGCCAGCAGCCGCGGUAAUUCCAGCUCCAAUAGCGUAUAUUAAAGUUGUUGCGGUUAAAAAGCUCGUAGUUGGACUUGUGUCCCACGCUGUCGGUUCACCGCCCGUCGGUGUUUAACUGACAUGUAUCGUGAGACGUCCUGCCGGUGGCGGCGAGUCGAAAGAUCGCGCCCCUGUGGGUCACACCACAGGUAGGUUGCGGUCCGUAGGCGGACCCCGAUGAAAUCCUACCGCGGUGCUCUUAAACAAGUGUCGAGGUGGGCCGGCACGUUUACUUUGAACAAAUUAGAGUGCUUAAAGCAGGCCUGAUGCGCCUGAAUACUGUGUGCAUGGAAUAAUGGAAUAGGACCUCGGUUCUAUUUUGUUGGUUUUCGGAACCCGAGGUAAUGAUUAAUAGGGACAGUCGGGGGCAUUCGUAUUGCGACGUUAGAGGUGAAAUUCUUGGAUCGUCGCAAGACGGACCGAAGCGAAAGCAUUUGCCAAGUAUGUUUUCAUUAAUCAAGAACGAAAGUUAGAGGUUCGAAGGCGAUCAGAUACCGCCCUAGUUCUAACCAUAAACGAUGCCAGCUAGCGAUCCGCCGAAGUUCCUCCGAUGACUCGGCGGGCAGCUCCCGGGAAACCAAAGCUUUUGGGUUCCGGGGGAAGUAUGGUUGCAAAGCUGAAACUUAAAGGAAUUGACGGAAGGGCACCACCAGGAGUGGAGCCUGCGGCUUAAUUUGACUCAACACGGGAAACCUCACCAGGCCCGGACACUGGA
rnacentral:rRNA from 1 species